rnacentral:rRNA from 1 species
UACGGGGGGGGCAAGCGUUGUUCGGAAUUACUGGGCGUAAAGGGCUCGUAGGUGGCCAACUAAGUCAGACGUGAAAUCCCUCGGCUUAACCGGGGAACUGCGUCUGAUACUGGAUGGCUUGAGUUUGGGAGAGGGACGCGGAAUUCCAGGUGUAGCGGUGAAAUGCGUAGAUAUCUGGAGGAACACCGGUGGCGAAAGCGGCGUCCUGGACCAACACUGACACUGAGAGACGAAAGCUAGGGGAGCAAAUGGG